GGAGUUAGCCGGUGCUUCUUCUGCGAGUAACGUCACAGAUGUAAGGUAUUAACUUACACCCUUUCCUCCUCGCUGAAAGUGCUUUACAACCCGAAGGCCUUCUUCACACACGCGGCAUGGCUGCAUCAGGGUUUCCCCCAUUGUGCAAUAUUCCCCACUGCUGCCUCCCGUAGGAGUCUGGGCCGUGUCUCAGUCCCAGUGUGGCUGAUCAUCCUCUCAGACCAGCUAGGGAUCGUCGCCUAGGUGAGCCUUUACCUCACCUACUAGCUAAUCCCACCUGGGCUUAUCCAUACAGCGCAAGGCCCGAAGGUCCCCUGCUUUCCCCCGUAGGGCGUAUGCGGUAUUAGCAGUCGUUUCCAACUGUUAUCCCCCACAAAUGGGCAAAUUCCCAGGCAUUACUCACCCGUCCGCCGCUCGUCAUCUUCAAAAGCAAGCUUUUGAAAUGUUACCGCUCGACUUGCAUGUGUUAGGCCUGCCGCCAGCGUUCAAUCUGAGCCAUGAUCAAACUCUGA
rnacentral:rRNA from 1 species